rnacentral:rRNA from 1 species
GAUGAACGCUAGCGGCAGGCUUAAUACAUGCAAGUCGAACGGUAACAGGUCUUCGGACGCUGACGAGUGGCGCACGGGUGAGGAACACGUACACAAUCUACCUUAUACUGGAGAAUAGCCCCGGGAAACUGGGAUUAAUACUCCAUAGUCUUUAAUGAUCACAUGAGAAAUAAAGUAAAGCUUCGGCGGUAUAAGAUGAGUGUGCGUCCCAUUAGAUUGUUGGUGAGGUAACGGCUCACCAAGUCGACGAUGGGUAGCUGGCGUGAGAGCGCGACCAGCCACACUGGCACUGAGUCACGGGCCAGACUCCUACGGGAGGCAGCAGUAGGGAAUAUUGGUCAAUGGACGAAAGUCUGAACCAGCCAUGCCGCGUGGAGGAUGACUGCCCUCUGGGUUGUAAACUCCUUUUAUAUGGGAAGAAACCUCUGGAUUCACUCCAGAGCUGACGGUAUCAUAUGAAUAAGCACCGGCUAA